rnacentral:tRNA from 1 species
CGGUGUGCUGGCCGACCGGUGGGAUCGGCGCCGGUUGUUGCAGACGACCCAGGCGCUGGCCAUGUUCGGUGCCCUGGGCAUGGCGGC